ACUGAGUGGCGGACGGGUGAGUAACGCGUGGGUAACCUGCCUCAUACAGGGGGAUAACAGUUAGAAAUGACUGCUAAUACCUCAUAAGACCACAGUACCGCAUGGUACAGGGGUAAAAACUCCGGUGGUAUGAGAUGGACCCGCGUCUGAUUAGGUAGUUGGUGGGGUAACGGCCUACCAAGCCGACGAUCAGUAGCCGACCUGAGAGGGUGACCGGCCACAUUGGGACUGAGACACGGCCCAA
rnacentral:rRNA from 1 species